rnacentral:rRNA from 1 species
CUACGGGGGGCAGCAGUGGGGAAUAUUGCACAAUGGGGGGAACCCUGAUGCAGCAGCGCCGCGUGGAGGAUGACGCAUCUCGGUGUGUAAACUCCCUUUAUAUGUCAAGAAAAUGACGGUAGCAUAUGAAUAAGCACCGGCUAACUCCGUGCCAGCAGCCGCGGUAAUACGGAGGGUGCAAGCGUUACUCGGAAUCACUGGGCGUAAAGGACGCGUAGGCGGGUUGGAAAGUCAGGUGUGAAAUCCUACAGCUUAACUGUAGAACUGCACUUGAAACUUCUAAUCUAGAGUAUGGGAGGGGGAGAUGGAAUUAGUGGUGUAGGGGUAAAAUCCGUAGAUAUCACUAGGAAUACCUAAAGCGAAGGCGAUCUCCUGGAACAUUACUGACGCUAAGGCGUGAAAGCGUGGGGAGCAAACAGGAUUAGAUACCCGCGUAGUC